GCUUUCCUGUGGCACAUUUGGUAGAGCAUUGGGCUAACAGGGCAAAGGUCAUGGGUUGAAAUCCCAGGGAAAGCA